CCUACGGGGUGCUGCAGUGGGGAAUAUUGGACAAUGGGCGAAAGCCUGAUCCAGCCAUGCCGCGUGUGUGAAGAAGGCCUUCGGGUUGUAAAGCACUUUCAGUGGGGAAGAAAGCCUUGGGGCUAAUACCCUCGAGGAAGGACAUCACCCACAGAAGAAGCACCGGCUAACUCCGUGCCAGCAGCCGCGGUAAUACGGGAGGGUGCGAGCGUUAAUCGGAAUUACUGGGCGUAAAGCGCGCGUAGGCGGUCUGAUAAGCCGGUUGUGAAAGCCCCGGGCUCAACCUGGGAACGGCAUCCGGAACUGUCAGGCUAGAGUGCAGGAGAGGAAGGUAGAAUUCCCGGUGUAGCGGUGAAAUGCGUAGAGAUCGGGAGGAAUACCAGUGGCGAAGGCGGCCUUCUGGACUGACACUGACGCUGAGGUGCGAAAGCGUGGGUAGCAAACAGGAUUAGAUACCCGGGUAGUC
rnacentral:rRNA from 1 species